rnacentral:lncRNA from 1 species
GGCUGAAUUUAAUGAUGACAAUAACUACAGCAACAAUGAUGAUGAUGAUGAUGAUGAUGAUGAUGAUGAUGAUGAUGAUGAUGAUGAUGAUGAUGAUGAAACAACCCCAACAUGUUCUAGGCUGCUUGAGGCAAAGUGUUAUGUGUUUUUUUCCUCUUCUUGAGGUAAUGGCACUUAUUCUGAGCUUACUUCUGAUGGAGAGAGAUUGCUGACCUGAGCGGCUGAAACAAAUAGGCUGAAAACAGAUUCAGCCUGUUCCAGUGGGUGGCACAAGAAGCACAAAAACCAGUGUUUGGCUGGUAAUCCAAGUGGGAUGAGGAGCAUUACAGACUGCAAUUCUCUAGUCUGUGAAUUUAAUGGCACUGUCACUGGUUUGAAGUGAAUGGUUUCUGGCAAUCAACAUCUGCAUGGAAAUAUUUGUCCUGUAGCUCAGUACACAUUCAAAGCAGUAGAAUACAAUGCAUUUAGCAAGAUGCCAUUCUUCUCUUCUGCAAUCCACCAUGUGGAGGAAGAGAUCAAGAGACAUGAGUUCAGUUUAGACAAGAAAGCCAGAAAAGCAUACUCCCAGAGGCUCCAAGACCAGCAACAAGCAGAAAGUUUGGCUGAGACUCAGAUAAGGACAUACAUCAAUUUCAUAGGUGGCAUGAGAGGGUUUAAAAUAGGACUGAAGAAGGAUGGCAGCACUUUAGCUGUCCAAGAUGUGACUUGUACUAAGAACCUUCUCUUCCCAAACAAACUGGAUUCUGGUCUGUGCCUGUCUGGGGAUUAGCUGGAGCCAGUGCUCAGUGAUUCCUACCAGCAUCUCCUGGCUGCACCCAGCAGUUUCUCCAGGCAUUACACGAUAAUGUUUUUAACGGACUGCCUAAGACUGGUUGGGAAGAUAAACUUCCAAAUGAGAAACUGUACAGUGUGGUCACACUGGAUGUCUGCCAGAUGGCAGAAAAAUAAAUCAAAGUCUGCCCUGAGCA